rnacentral:rRNA from 1 species
GACAUAGGUGCCGAGCGUUAGGCGGAAUCACUGGGCUUAAAGCGUGUGUAGGCGGGUCGUUAAGUGCCUUGUGAAAUCCCACAGCUCACCUGUGGAACUGCUUGGCAUACUGGCGAUCUUGAGCCACUUAGGGGCAACCGGAACAAACGGUGGAGCGGUGAAAUGCGUAGAUAUCAGGAAGAACACCGGUGGCGAAAGCGCUCUGCUAGGCCGCAACUGACACUGAGGGACGAAAGCUAGGGGAGCGAAUGGG